rnacentral:rRNA from 1 species
AGAGUUUGAUCCUGGCUCAGAAUCAACGCUGGCGGCGUGCCUAAUACAUGCAAGUCGAACGAGAAAGGGGCUUCGGCCCUGAGUAAAGUGGCGCACGGGUGAGUAACACGUGACUAACCUACCCUUGAGCGGGGGAUAACCUAGGGAAACCUGGGCUAAUACCGCAUAACACCUACGGGUCAAAGCGAGCAAUCGCACUUAAGGAGGGGGUCGCGGCAGAUUAGCUAGUUGGUGAGGUAAUGGCUCACCAAGGCGAUGAUCUGUAUCCGGCCUGAGAGGGCGCACGGACACACUGGAACUGAAACACGGUCCAGACUCCUACGGGAGGCAGCAGUGGGGAAUUUUGCGCAAUGGGGGAAACCCUGACGCAGCAACGCCGCAUGGAGGAUGAAAUCCCUUGGGAUGUAAACUCCUUUCGAUCGGGACGAUUAUGACGGUACCGGAAGAAGAAGCCCCGGCUAACUUCGUGCCAGCAGCCGCGGUAAUACGAGGGGGGCAAGCGUUGUUCGGAAUUAUUGGGCGUAAAGGGUGCGUAGGCGGUUUGAUAAGUCUGAUGUGAAAUCUAUGGGCUCAACCCAUAGUCUGCAUCGGAAACUGUCAGGCUUGAGAAUGGGAGAGGUGAGUGGAAUUUCCGGUGUAGCGGUGAAAUGCGUAGAUAUCGGAAGGAACACCUGUGGCGAAAGCGGCUCACUGGACCAUUUCUGACGCUGAUGCACGAAAGCUAGGGGAGCAAACAGGAUUAGAUACCCUGGUAGUCC